rnacentral:rRNA from 1 species
GAUGAACGCUGACAGAAUGCUUAACACAUGCAAGUCCACUUGAAUUUGGGUUUUUAACUUAGGUUUGGGUGGCGGACGGGUGAGUAACGCGUAAAGAACUUGCCUCCCAGCUAGGGACAACAUUUGGAAACGAAUGCUAAUACCUAAUAUUAUGAUAAUAGGGCAUCCUAUAAUUAUGAAAGCUAUAAGCGCUGUGAGAGAGCUUUGCGUCCCAUUAGCUAGUUGGAGAGGUAACGGCUCACCAAGGCGAUGAUGGGUAGCCGGUCUGAGAGGGUGAUCGGCCACAAGGGGCCUGAGACACGGCCCUUACUCCUACGGGAGGCAGCAGUGGGGAAUAUUGGACAAUGGACCGAGAGUCUGAUCCAGCAAUUCUGUGUGCACGAUGAAGUUUUUCGGAAUGUAAAGUGCUUUCAGUUGGGAAGAAACAAAUGACGGUACCAACAGAAGAAGUGACGGCUAAAUACGUG